GACAGAGGGUGCAAGCGUUGUUCGGAAUUACUGGGCAUAAAGCGCACGUAGGCGGUUCGCUAAGUCUGUCGUGAAAUCCCCCGGCUCAACCGGGGAAUAGCGUCGGAUACUGGCGAGCUCGAGGUCGAUAGGGGUAAGUGGAACUCCAGGUGGAGCGGUGAAAUGCGUAGAUAUCUGGAGGAACACCGGUGGCGAAAGCGACAUCCUGGACCAACACUGACGCUGAGUGAGCGAAAGCCAGGGGAGCAAACGGG
rnacentral:rRNA from 1 species